rnacentral:rRNA from 1 species
UACGGAGGGUGCAAGCGUUAUCCGGAUUUACUGGGUUUAAAGGGUGCGUAGGUGGGUAGGUAAGUCAGUGGUGAAAUCUCCGAGCUUAACUCGGAAACUGCCAUUGAUACUAUCUAUCUUGAAUAUCCUGGAGGUGAGCGGAAUAUGUCAUGUAGCGGUGAAAUGCUUAGAUAUGACAUAGAACACCAAUUGCGAAGGCAGCUCACUACGGGAUUAUUGACACUGAGGCACGAAAGCGUGGGGAUCAAACAGG